UUUUGGUUUUGUAAUUGGAAUGAGUUAGGUAUAAACCCCUUUACAAGUAUCAAUUGGAGGGCAAGUCUGGUGCCAGCAGCCGCGGUAAUUCCAGCUCCAAUAGCGUAUAUUAAAGUUGUUGCAGUUAAAAAGCUCGUAGUUGGAUUUCUGUUAAUAAUUUAUAUAAAAUAUUUUGAUGAAUAUUUAUAUAAUAUUAACAUAAUUCAUAUUACUAUUUUUUUUUAGUAUAUGAAAUUUUACUU
rnacentral:rRNA from 1 species